rnacentral:rRNA from 1 species
CAGCAGCCACGGUAAUACGUAGGUGGCGAGCGUUGUCCGGAAUUAUUGGGCGUAAAGCGCGCGCAGGCGGAUAGGUCAGUCUGUCUUAAAAGUUCGGGGCUUAACCCCGUGAUGGGAUGGAAACUGCCAAUCUAGAGUAUCGGAGAGGAAAGUGGAAUUCCUAGUGUAGCGGUGAAAUGCGUAGAUAUUGGGAAGAACACCGGUGGCGAAGGCGGCGACCUGGUCCAUAACUGACGCUGAGGCGCGAAAGCGUGGGGAGCAAACAGGAUUAGAUACCCCAGUAGUCCCUGUCUCUUAUACA